AAGUCUUUACGGAGAAAGCUUUAUGCACCAUUGGAUGAGCCUGCACUUGAUUAGUUUGUUGGUGGGGUAAUGGCCUACCAAGACUGUGAUCAAUAGCUGAUUUGAGAGGAUGAUCAGCCACAUUGGGACUGAGACACGGCCCAAACUCCUACGGGAGGCAGCAGUGGGGAAUCUUGCACAAUGGAGGAAACUCUGAUGCAGCGAUGCCGCGUGAGUGAAGAAGGCCUUUGGGUUGUAAAGCUCUUUCGUCGGGGAAGAAAAUGACUGUACCCGAAUAAGAAGGUCCGGC
rnacentral:rRNA from 1 species